CAAAGGACCCUGGUUCCAAUCUCACUUUAAACCCGUUUUAGGGGCAGUGGUGGCCUAGCACGUAAGGAAGCAGACCCGUAAUCGGAAGGUUGCUGGUUCAAAUUCUGAGCCACCAAGGAGACACUAAGCAAAGCACCAUCCCCACACACUGCUCCCCGAGAACCUUUCAUGGCUGCCCACUGCUCGCUAAGGGUCAUGGGAUAAAUGCAGAGGACACAUUUCAUUGUGCUUCACAAUGACAAUCACUUCACUUUCACUUUCUACAGGGGGAUUCUGGACUGAAUGGUACCCGAGGAGAAAAGGGAGACCAAGGAGGCCCUGGUCAACAGGGCAACAGAGGUGGUCCAGGUAUGGUGGGACAGACUGGCUUCAGAGGAGAUCCAGGGGAUCAUGGAAAUGACAGUACAGUGGAGGGCCUUAAGGGUGAAAUGGGUAGGCAGGGGACACAAGUAAGUAGCAUAUGAUUGGAAAUUUAUUUUCAGUGGAGUCGUGUUGUCAGGAAUAUGUACUGUAUUUUUUAAACCUUUAUAUAGUUCAAUUGCUUUGCUUUUCCAACAGGGUGAUGUAGGGGAAGAUGGGCAUCUUGGAAGCCCAGGAGAUGAAGGAAACCCAGUAAUUUUUUUAUUUAAACUCCAGAAAAAAUUCACACUUCAUGUUUAAAUAAAACUUGAACUGUAUUUUUUUUGUGUAAAUAUAAUUUUUUUUUCUAAAGUUUUAGAAUAUAGAAGCAAUUCAAAAUAUACAUUUGAUACCAGCAUAAAAAUGAACAUGUGCUCUAAAUGUUAAAUAGCACAUGUAACGGUGUUAAUAAAAUUUUAUUUUGCUUUGGAGGGUGCCCAAGGGAGACACGGUCCAACUGGAGCUAAGGUAAAAUUUGUGGUGGAGUAUAUAUCAGUGUGCACACUUGAAUUUAGUACAAGUGUGUAUUAAUAUAGCUUUCACUCACCUCACAUGUGCAGUGCUGAGUAGGCAGAUAAUACAAAGUAAUUACAAUGGUUGAUAUUUCUUUCACAUUCCAAGCAUGAAUGUGUUCAAGUUUUAAGUUUCAUUGAAAAUAUGAACAUACU
ensembl:lncRNA